UUUAUGGAGAGUUUGAUCCUGGCUCAGGAUGAACGCUGGCGGCGUGCCUAAUACAUGCAAGUCGAGCGAACGGAUGAGAAGCUUGCUUCUCUGAUGUUAGCGGCGGACGGGUGAGUAACACGUGGAUAACCUACCUAUAAGACUGGGACAACUUCGGGAAACCGGAGCUAAUACCGGAUAAUAUUUUGAACCGCAUGGUUCAAAAGUGAAAGACGGUCUUGCUGUCACUUAUAGAUGGAUCCGCGCUGCAUUAGCUAGUUGGUAAGGUAACGGCUUACCAAGGCAACGAUGCAUAGCCGACCUGAGAGGGUGAUCGGCCACACUGGAACUGAGACACGGUCCAGACUCCUACGGGAGGCAGCAGUAGGG
rnacentral:rRNA from 1 species